GAUGAAGAACGCAGCGAAAUGCGAUAAGUAAUGUGAAUUGCAGAAUUCAGUGAAUCAUCGAAUCUUUGAACGCACAUUGCGCCCGCUAGUAUUCUGGCGGGCAUGCCUGUCCGAGCGUCAUUUCAACCCUCAAGCCCCCGGGCUUGGUGUUGGGGAUCGGCGAGCCUCCGCGCCCGCCGUCCCCUAAAUCUAGUGGCGGUCUCGCUGUAGCUUCCUCUGCGUAGUAGCACACCUCGCACUGGGAAACAGCGCGGCCACGCCGUUAAACCCCCAACUUCUGAACGUUUGACCUCGGAUCAUGUAGGAAUACCCGCUGAACUUAAGCAUAUCAAUAGCGGAGGA
rnacentral:misc_RNA from 1 species